AUCGGAUCUGCUCGUCGGUGUAGUUUUGGGAUAAUUUGAAGUUUUUGGAGAUAAUUAUGUCGCUAUCCAACAACAUUGUGGUGUUUUUCGGCAACGUUUGGGUUGAUUCUUGGUGUUACUUGGGAUGUUGGGAUGAAGAGCUUGUUUGCUUGAAUUAAAUAUUAUAUCUAAAUUUGAGGUAACUUAUUUACUACCUAUUCACCCUCGAACCCUAGAUUGAUGUUAAGAUUGCGAAUAAGCUAAUUGCUUUUUUCUUUUAUGGCGGAAUGUUUUGCUAUGAUAGACUAAUGAAUG